GUUGAAUAUGCGCUGAAUUUUCCGCAAGGAAAAACGGGGGAACCAAACUUGACGGCAACGUCAAUGGGGUGAAUCGGAGGCAGGUCAGUAUGACCGGAACCGUAGGGCUACCACAGCCCGAAUCCGCCAGCUAACCUCGUAAGCAAGGGUGGGAUAAUGA
rnacentral:sRNA from 2 species